rnacentral:rRNA from 1 species
GACGAACGCUGGCGGCGUGCCUAAUACAUGCAAGUAGAACGCUGAAGGAGGAGCUUGCUUCUCUGGAUGAGUUGCGAACGGGUGAGUAACGCGUAGGUAACCUGCCUGGUAGCGGGGGAUAACUAUUGGAAACGAUAGCUAAUACCGCAUAAGAGUAGAUGUUGCAUGACAUUUGCUUAAAAGGUGCACUUGCAUCACUACCAGAUGGACCUGCGUUGUAUUAGCUAGUUGGUGGGGUAACGGCUCACCAAGGCGACGAUACAUAGCCGACCUGAGAGGGGGCUCGGCCACACUGGGACUGGGACACGGCCCAGACUCCUACGGGAGGCAGCCGGAGGGAAUCUUCGGCAAUGGACGGAAGUCUGACCGAUCAACGCUGCGUGAGUGAAGAAGGUUUUCGGAUCGUAAAGCUCUUUUGUAAGUGAAGAACGAGUGUUAGUGUGGAAAGUUCACACUGUGACGGUACCUGACCAGAAAGGGACGGCUAACUACGUG